rnacentral:lncRNA from 1 species
GUAAAGGCUGUCAGGAGACUAGAAGUAGAACAGAAACUUCUCAGCAAAUUAAAGACAUGUACUCCAUACUUCCAGUGAGAACGCCUUAUGUGAACGGAGAAGAUACAAUGCUUUCUCCUUAAGAUACAGUCUCACUGUGUUUUCCAGGCUGAUUCCAAACUCCUGGGCUCCAGUGAUGCUCCUGCCUCAGCCUUCAGAGUAGCUGGAACUACAGGCACCCACCACUGUGUCUGGCUCAUGUCUUUUUGUGCUGGAGGAGGCUGUAGGUGACCUGUGAAUUGGCCUCUUCCGAAGAAACUUCCAGGAAUUGUUUGAACUUUUUCCUGCCUUGCUUGCUGACUUUGGAGUCCACCCCCGGUGUGAGAUGUUCAUUACUUAAGCCGAGUCGUUAGAUGAACCAGUUUUAAUCUCUACAUGGAGCAACUUGUUUUGUAAAUAAUUCAAACAUUUUAUCAUGGGUACAAUGACAAAAUGAAGAUUUAAAAAUAUGUACAUUGUUUGACAAUUAAAAAGAGAAAUUCAUACACAACAUUUGUUCAAUUUGUGAAACAUUCAAAAAUUUGACAAAGUAUAAAUAUGUAUCCUAACUAUAAUUUUAAAAGGGGGCUGGGGAUUUAGCUCAGUGGUUUUGCUGCCUGCUGCGCAAGCGCAAGGAUCUGAGUUCGAUCCCCAGUACAAAAAAAAAAAAAAAAAGAUUUCUAUAAUUUUAAAAGACAUUUUGGGAUAUUUCGAGAAAACAACUAAAGACUCCUUAUUUGGAUGGAUAUGAUGGUUAAGUUCUUUUUUCAUUUUAAAACUUAUUUGUUGACAAGCCAGUUCUGGUGGCUCAUGCCUG